rnacentral:rRNA from 1 species
AUUGAACGCUGGCGGCAUGCCUUACACAUGCAAGUCGAACGGCAGCGGACCUUCGGGUGCCGGCGAGUGGCGAACGGGUGAGUAAUAUAUCGGAACGUACCUUUCAGUGGGGGAUAACGUAGCGAAAGUUACGCUAAUGCCGCAUAUUCUGUGAGCAGGAAAGCAGGGGAUCGCAAGACCUUGCGCUGAUUGAGCGGCCGAUAUCAGAUUAGCUAGUUGGUGAGGUAAAGGCUCACCAAGGCGACGAUCUGUAGCGGGUCUGAGAGGAUGAUCCGCCACACUGGAACUGAGACACGGUCCAGACUCCUACGGGAGGCAGCAGUGGGGAAUUUUUGGACAAUGGGCGCAAGCCUGAUCCAGCCAUGCCGCGUGAGUGAAGAAGGCCUCGGUU